GGGGGGGGGGGGGGGGGGGGGGGGGGGGGGGGGGGGGGGGGGGGGGGGGGGGGGGGGGGGGGGGGGGGGGGGGGGGGGGGGGGGGGGUGGGGGAGGGGAGGGAGGUUGGGCAGAGAUCGACACAACUCAACUGAAAUGAGCUCAACCAAGCUCAACCCAACCCGACUCAAGCAAACUCAACCCGACUCAAGCAAACCCAACUCAACUCAACUCAACUCAACCCAACCCAUCUCAACUCUACCCAUCCCAACUCAACUCAACCCAACCCAACUCAACUCAACCCAACCCAUCCCAGCUCAACCCAGCCCGUCCCAACUCAACUCAAACCAACCCAACUCAACCAAACCUAACUCAAGCAACUCAAUCCAACCCAACAAACUCAACACAACCCAACUCAACUAAUCCAACUCAAUCCAAGUCAACCAAACCUAACUCAACCCCAAUCAACACAAUCCAAUUCAACCCAACCCAACCAACUUAACCAAACCCAACCCAACCCAAUGCAACUCAAUCCAACUCAAUCCAACCCAACCCAACCAAGCCAACUCCACCAAACCUAACUCAACCCCGCUCAACCCAAUCCAAUACCACCCAACCCUACCAACUUAACCAAACCCAACCCAACCCAACCAACUCAACCAAACCUAGCUCAACACAACCAACCCAACCCAACUCAACUGGACUGAACCCAACCCAACCAAGCCAACUCAACCAAACCUAACUCAACGCCACUCAACCCAAUCCAAUUCUACCCAACCCAACCAACUUAACCAAACCCAACCCAACGCAACUCAAUCCAACUCAAUCCAACCCAACCCAACCAAGCCAACUCCACCAAACCUAACUCAACCCCGCUCAACCCAAUCCAAUUCCACCCAACCCUACCAACUUAACCAAACCCAACCCAACCCAACCAACUCAACCAAACCUAGCUCAACACAACCAACCCAACCCAACUCAACUGGACUGAACCCAACCCAACCAAGCCAACUCAACCAAACCUAACUCAACGCCACUCAACCCAAUCCAAUUCUACCCAACCCAACCAACUUAACCAAACCCAACCCAACGCAACUCAAUCCAACUCAAUCCAACCCAACCCAACCAAGCCAACUCCACCAAACCUAACUCAACCCCGCUCAACCCAAUCCAAUUCCACCCAACCCUACCAACUUAACCAAACCCAACCCAACCCAACCAACUCAGCCAAACCUAACUCAACACAACCAACCCAACCCAACUCAACUGGACUGAACCCAACCCAACCAAGCCAACUCAACCAAACCUAACUCAACCCCACUCAACCCAAUCCAAUUCAACCCAACCCAACCAACUCAACCAAACCCAAUCCAACCCAACCAACUCAACACAACCAACCCAACCCAACUCAACUCGACUGAACCCAACCCAACCAAGCCAACUCAACCAAAUCUAACUCAACCCCACUCAACCCAAUCCAAUUCAACCCAACCCAACCAACUCAACCAAACCCAAUCCAACCCAACCAACUCAACACAACCAACCCAACCCAACUCAACUCGACUGAACCCAACCCAACCAAGCCAACUCAACCAAAUCUAACUCAACCCCACUCAACCCAAUCCAAUUCAACCCAACCCAACCAACUCAACCAAACCCAAUCCAACCCAACCAACUCAACACAACCAACCCAACCCAACUCAACUCGACUGAACCCAACCCAACCAAGCCAACUCAACCAAAUCUAACUCAACCCCACUCAACCCAAUCCAAUUCAACCCAACCCAACCAACUCAACCAAACCCAAUCCAACCCAACCAACUCAACACAACCAACCCAACCCAACUCAACUCGACUGAACCCAACCCAACCAAGCCAACUCAACCAAAUCUAACUCAACCCCACUCAACCCAAUCCAAUUCAACCCAACCAACUUAACCAAACCCAACCCAACACAACUCAAUCCAACCCAACCCAACCAAGCCAACUCCACCAAACCUAACUCAACCCCACCCAACCCAAUCCAAUUCCAUCCAACCCAACCAACUCAACCAAACCCAACCCAACCCAACCCAACCAACUCAACCAAACCCAAGG
rnacentral:lncRNA from 12 species